rnacentral:rRNA from 1 species
UCCGUAGGUGAACCUGCGGAGGGAUCAUUGCUGGAACACGCCUCGCGGCGUACCCAGAAACCCUUUUGUGAACUUAUACCUUUUAUCGUUGCCUCGGCACGGCCCGGGGGGCGCUUCAGCCCCUCCCAGCCUCGCGGCUGGAGAAGGCCUGCCGGUGGCCCAAUAAACUCUUGUUUUCUGAACGUAUCUCUUCUGAGUAACAAACAAAAAAAAAUGAAUCAAAACUUUCAACAACGGAUCUCUUGGUUCUGGCAUCGAUGAAGAACGCAGCGAAAUGCGAUAAGUAAUGUGAAUUGCAGAAUUCAGUGAAUCAUCGAAUCUUUGAACGCACAUUGCGCCCGCUGGUAUUCCAGCGGGCAUGCCUGUUCGAGCGUCAUUUCAACCCUCAAGCUCCCGUGCUUGGUGUUGGGGCACAGCCUUGUCAAAGAGGCUGGCCCUCAAAUUUAGUGGCGAGCUCGCUAAGACUCCGAGCGUAGUAGUUACUUCUCGCUUAGGUUGACUUAGCGGCCCUCUGCCGUAAAACCCCCUAAAUUUUUCUGAAAGUUGACCUCGGAUCAGGUAGGAAUACCCGCUGAACUUAAGCAUAUCAAUAAGCGGAGGA